rnacentral:rRNA from 1 species
GCAGCCGCCACGGUAAUACAGAGGGUGCGAGCGUUAAUCGGAUUUACUGGGCGUAAAGCGUGCGUAGGCGGCUAAUUGAGUCGGAUGUGAAAUCCCCGAGCUUAACUUAGGAAUUGCAUUCGAUACUGGGAAGCUAGAGUAUGGGAGAGGAUGGUAGAAUUCCAGGUGUAGCGGUGAAAUGCGUAGAGAUCUGGAGGAAUACCGAUGGCGUAGGCAGCCAUCUGGCCUAAUACUGACGCUGAGGUACGAAAGCAUGGGGAGCAAACAGGAUUAGAUACCCCGGUAGUCCCUGUCUCUUAUAC